UACGAAGGGGGGCUAGCGUUGCUCGGAAUCACUGGGCGUAAAGCGCACGUAGGCGGAUUGUUAAGUCAGGGGUGAAAUCCUGGAGCUCAACUCCAGAACUGCCUUUGAUACUGGCGAUCUUGAGUCCGGGAGAGGUGAGUGGAACUGCGAGUGUAGAGGUGAAAUUCGUAGAUAUUAGGAAGAACACCAGUGGCGAAGGCGGCUCACUGGCCCGGUACUGACGCUGAGGCGCGAAAGCGUGGGGAGCAAACAGG
rnacentral:rRNA from 1 species